rnacentral:lncRNA from 1 species
CCAGAUUCCGAUCCUCCGCUAUCAUCAGAAGCACCAAUAACAAAUAUCUUUAGUUUCUUUAUGUGGUGGAAGAACGAGGUAGAAAUGAGAAGAACAAGUUUGCUUGUCCAAACCAAUAUAAACUGUACUCUAAGACAGAAAUUCAGAAGUAUUCUUCUUACGGCAUGAAGAAAUUUUUUCCACUUGUGGUGUCGAACUUGAAAGGUAAAGAGCUUUCUCUCCAGUCCUUAAGUCUUUGAUUCCAAUAAUUUUCGAUUUUUAACUCGUUUUUUAAGCUUUUCCUGCUUAUAUCUGAACAAUUUAACUCGGCAGCAGUAAACAAUCUGAAUGUAGAGACAAUAGUACCCAAUUCCACUUCAAUUGACUGAACAUAUAGAAUCCAUUUUGUUGACCACUUAUAGGCAGAUAAAGUACGGAACCCAGAGCCAUGUACUUGGUAUACUUUUGGUAUUCGAAUAUAAGCUUCUACUAAAGUGAGAGUUACUAAUACACACAUUAGACCUGAAGCAGUUCAAGUCACACUACGUGCCAUUACAAACUGAGGGCAUCCUGUCACUGCCAUCACCCAAUAUUUUUUUACCACUAGUCUCAAUUUGUUAACGUGAAAUUUUUGCCCAUCCACUUGUUCUUCAUCUAAAGCCAUUUUGCGCAUUUCUUGGUACUUGCAUUCUAUGUAUCUUCUGGUAGUUAGAACGGUCAAGGCCGAAGAAAAAAACAUAACAAGUGAAAUAAAGAUAAAACCCGUUACUAUAAUUUCUUUGCAAACUAUUAGGAGAACACCAUCAAAAUACACUGUGAUAAGGUGGACAUAAACAUUGCCAAUGACUGUAAUUAUCAUAAUACCUAAAGCAGCUAGGUUUAGUACCAUCUCAUUAUCGUCCAUGGAUCCCAAAGAUGUCAUAAAACUUGCCAUUGCAGUUGACAUCAAAACGAGGCUACUAACCCAUGCAAGAAUGUCAAGAGGCCCCGCCAUACAACCAGUAAGAUCGACUGGUAGUUUCAAUGUGACAGCUAAUAGUGUCAAAGACAUGGCAUUGAAACAGAAGUACUUACAUAGGAACCACAACAUUUUACUACGAAAACCAUGGAAAGUGUCAGCAGCCAUUGAAAGGGAGUAGACUACAAAAGUUGCUGCAAUAUACAUGCCAAUCCAUGGCAUUGGGGAAUCCAAUUUGUUUUGCAAAACUUUCAUUACAUCUUGGUCGCAUACAUCCUUGCAUUCACUCUGAUUGUAAAUUCCCAUACCGCAUUGAAAUGAAUCCAUGAACUUGUCUCUGAAAUUCUUUUCUAUUUCUCUCCCAAGAGUUUCUCCUAUCCAUUCUAUGGAUUGCCAUCUUAUUGAAAUGUCAAGUUGAAAGACUUCCUUUCUAUGUGAUAUUGGCGUCUUCUGCUGCCCCCGGGGCAUAGCCCAGUGGUGCAAAGGACAGGAGUAAAGUUAUCUCACGCCUUGCUGGCAACUGCAGUGUGGGGGUUCGAUUCCUGAGACAUGGAAUUAGACUCCUUGUAGGCGCAGUGUACAGGUAGCUCUUGUUCCCUGACCUACUGGGGCACAUCCUACAUUUACCUCCCUCACAAAAUUCUAGGGGCGGGGCCGUGGGACCCUCAAGCUUGGGGUUUAACCUUUUUUUUCUUGAUAUUGACGUCUUCUGCUAUUGACCCUGUUUUUAAGCCAGACUCAAAGACACAUGGCGCCCCCUAUUGGAGGGGGGCUAUAACGCUCAAAGCUUUUUUUCAUUGAAUUUAGACAGCGCUUUUCACAUGGUCUGCUUCUUUCUGUCCUUUUACUUAUUUAGUUUUGACUUUAAUAAAAGGCUGGUAUGUGUUUUCACUAGAGAUGUCAACAAAUCGAGCCAAAAUUCGAAAUUUGGGCUUGGCUCGAGUAAAAAUGAUUCAGGCAUAUUUUUUGUUCGAGCUGAGCUGAGCUUUCACGCGGGCAAAAAAUCUAGGCUUUUUUAUAAAAAAAAUAAAAAUAAAUAAAUAAAAGAAUUUGUGACAAUGUUAAUAUUUUUAAAAAAUUUUGUACAAUUUAUACAAAUUAUAAAUCAAAUAAAAGUUGCAAUUCUCCUUUUUUAAGGCUUGGGACCGGCUACAAUCAAAUUAAGCUGAGUUAAAAUUGUAAAAAAAAAAUAUUUCAUGUACAAUUUUUCUUGAACAAAUCAAUUUAAGAGCUUACAAUAUCUUUAUGCUUGGAUCUGCUACUCGAACUGACGAGCCAAAUUUACACCCAUAGUUUCCACUAACUCAAUAAUGAUAGUUCUUUUGAUAUGAAAAAAUUUCAAUAAAUUCCUUUACAAAGACAAUAAUAUAAUUGCUAUACAUGGCAGUUCAUUAAAUGAGAUUUCUGGCCAACAUUCUCUUGUGCCUGAUAUAUGGUCAUUAAAUGAGAUUAAUUGUAAUAAAUUUUGAUGAACUAUAACUUAAUUAGAUGUUAAUUUUGUUUGUUAGGUAAAACUCAAGGUAAAUUGGUGGAAUUGGAAGAAUGAACGAAAUGGGCAAAAACAAAAGAAAUUCAAAGUUCGAAAUCAUAUUGCAAAUAUCUAAUAACUGAUUCGGACCACGAAACGAUAACUGAAGUUUGUUAGGAGUCAAUUUAACGCAAUUCGAUGUCAAAUGCUUGAAAUAUAGUCGAAGAAUUUUCACAAUAUCACUUCAUGGCACCCUGUAAAUGAAAGGUUUCUUCGUAUCGUAUAUCAUUUAGUAUUGUAAGCUGUAGUUAUUGUCAUUCGCGUCCCACACGUUUAAGGAUUACAAAAUUUCCUACUCCAACCUACCUUCGCAUUGCCCCGUCACGAAUAGUAAACUUGAUGGGAAUAGAGCAUGGUCCUUCCGUUGAAUUUUUCAAACUAAAGUCGAAUCUUUUUAUUUUAUUUUUGUAUUAAUAUAUUUAAAAAGUAAAAAGUAAUAUUAAAAAAUAUUAAUUAAAUGAGAUGGUAACUAAGGAUUUUUUAUUUGCUGUCCCACCUUCUGAAAGUCCUUGAUGGGCCAAGAAUGGUAAUGGUUGUUCUAUCUUCGCCCCAGGGACGGAGCCCAAUUAUGUACAGUGCUUUUGGACCCAGCUCCACAGGGCCAAGUAAAUUUCUUUUUGUUUGUUUAAGUCACUUCCCUGUCCACUGUCCAGCCAAGAGAGAGAAGCCCAAUGCCCAUGACCCAUUUUAGAUCCAUUCCCCUCAAAAUUCAAUUGAAUCAAUUGACCCACACCUAUUCAUUUAUUUCAACCCUUUGUGAAUUGUGACUUUGUCCCUUCAGACUUCGCCACUUUCAUUCAUUCAAUUGAAUCUCUUCCCUUAUUUUUUGUUAUUUCGAUUUGUGUAAAUUGUAAUAAUAUUUUUUUUUAACAUAUGAAAUUAGCAUUUUUUUUUUUAGUAUUGUCGUAAUAUUGUUUUAUUUCUUUAUCAUUAUUAAAUCCAUGACCAAAACCUCGAUGUCUGGUAAAGAAAAAAUUUCGCCCACACUGAACCAAAAUCCUAGCUCCACCCGUGCUUCGCCCCACCCCGUUUUUAUCACUAUGUACAUUCCAUCCAAAUCUAUGGACCAUAGAGUUGAGUACCCCUUUAUUCGAAUUCCUCUUAAUGUUUCGAGCCAUAGGUGUUCAUGUAUUGCUAUGUAUAUGAUCUAUUGGGUUCUUAAAGAAAUGUUGCUAGCAAAAUUUAGUGCUAUGGUAGAACAAACGUUAUGACAAUGUUUUUAGUUUAAGAAAUUUUAAAGUCGUGUACAUGUGUGUAUUUUUGACACUUUAUGACGUGACAUUAUGGUUAGUUAGCAUGCUAUGUGAUGAUUACUUGAUAGAUAUAUUGCGAUAACGCUACCAAUUAUCAAUUUUCAUCAAUUUAGAGACAUGACACGUGACCAAGUCAUGAAAAUUGAAACAAAAUUGCAUUUUAGUAAUUUUGUUGAAACUAAAUUGACGUUCAAUGAUCAAUUGAGAUAAAUUAAAAUUUAGUAAUCUAAUUAAAUUUUCUUGUGAGUUUAGUGAAUAAAUUUACACUAAAGCAUUAUGUGCGUGGUAUCUUUACACUUAUUUUUGUCCUAUAUUCUACCUUAUCUCUAGUUACCCAAUUGAUUUCUAUGUUGUGCUAUAGAAUAAAAUUGGCAUUUUAUAAAGGAAUAAAAAAAUAAAAGGAAAAUGUAAAAAGAAAGAAUAACAUCCAAGAAGACGCUUUUCUAUUAGUCGGGAGACAAAACUUAACUUAUAUAAAGAAUUAAAAUUUAUCCCCCGUUUGGUGGGAAUUAAGAUCAUUUUUAGUAAAUUUUGAUAAAAUUUUUAUAAUAUAUGAGGUUGAAAAACCAUGGAUCCCAAAAAAUGUGUGGUUAAAUUUAGUUAUUGAGUUUGACAUAGAUUAAAAUCUAAAUUUUAAUUCUACUGAAUUAAUGACAAACUAGGAACAAAAAAAGUUUCGUGACUAAAAUGAAAUAAUGCUAUAAAAAUUGGCGACUGGCUAUGUUUUCAUUUCCAAAUUUCAAACGUUUAGCAUUAUUAUAUCAUGACAUGAUUAAUUAUAUUAGAUCUCAAUUAUACUACUCGAUCAUGAUUAUUGACUAGCAAUCUUCAUCAAGUAUUUCAAGCUCGUAAACUACAAAAUACUUGUGUAUCAACAAUGCCUAUUCGUGCCCUGUAACCUACAUUGCAUUGACAUGCAUUUGGCUUGAGAAGGGUGAGCUUGGACAAAACUCAUUUGGAGCAUUUCUAACUAUUCAUUGAUACUUACCUUAUCUACAAUAUUAAAGCGUAGGAAUAUGUGGUAAACAUUUAGUUUCCCAUUUUGUCCUCACAUUUUUUAGUUUAUAACCCCUUAACAUUUAGUUUAUUUCUAUCAGAUAAUUAUAAUCAACAUUUUCAAUGAAACAUUCAAAUUUGAUGACAAAGAAUAAUCUUCAAUUUUUUGUGUGGUAAUAUAAUUUGUCCUAUAUUUUUAUAAGAUUUGUGUUUAUUUAUUUUAAUAUAGUGGCAACAAAUGUCAUCUAAAGAAAUUUAUUAGUUCGGUUUAUAUCAUAUAGUUAUUUUAUUUUUCUUUCAUCUUCUAUCUUGAUCAUUUAUAUAAUCUUACCAACCUAUGUUCAUGUCAGCAGGCCGAUCCAGAUAUUAUUUGUGUCAUGUACGAAAUACAAAAGAGUACUCUUUCAUUUCUAAGAAGCACACACAUAGGAAAAAGAUACAACCAUCAAUUGGAAAGAAACAAGUUAGGGUCUAACUGAGACUGAUAAGAUUAAUAUUGAGUCCAUGAGUGUGCUAAUAAUCAAGAAGUAACUUUCUUGCCUACUUGCUUGUGUUCUCGCACUCAGCCAUGAAGUACAAUAGCUACACGUUCUUCAUUGGAUUGUUGAGUUUCACUUCCAAUACUCAUUAUUGAGGCCAGAAAAUUCCCUUUAUAUUCCUCGAUAAAAGUACACCACUCAUCAAUGUAAGCUGUUUUAUCAGGAUCCAAGUUUGGCAUCUCAUGGUGCUGAAGAAUUUGUAGAAUAUCUUCUGUUUCUCCAAGAGGAGGGCAGCUUGAGGAACACUCUUUGCCUUUUCUUUUCGGAAUUAUGGUGGCAUUUCAUAGUUAUGACAUGUGGUAGAUUGGUAAGGGAAGCUGCUGAUAUAUCUGCAUUCACGACGAAUAAAUGGUUAAACAGUCCCUCAUUUGUUUCAUUAUUGCCACUGGCCAGAGAAAUAGUUCGGCUGAUCCAGUACAUUGAGUUAGCAGCUAUAAUCUUAACUAGCCAAUCCAGAGGGUUAUCCAUUAGGAAAUCGUUUACUUCUCUGACGAACUUCUUAAUAGUCCUUUCAGCUUCAUUGGAAAGCUCUUCUAAUGCUUCCUAGGAGGUUCUGCCUUGGAGAUUUGUUUUGCAGGCAUCCUUAUCUUGCCAGUUGCAAUAUAAAUCAACUUCUAACUAUACAACAUCCGCUGCAUUUCCGAUGAUUGCUAAAUCCACAUGUUCAUCGAGGCUUUUCUCUGUCAAUUUUAAUUGAAUGAUAAACUAAUAUAAAUAAAUCAUCAUUGGCUCGAUUGUGGAAAGGUCCCAGUAUGACAUAGAUAAUGCUGUUUGUACAUAGAGAAAGUGAAAAAAAAAAAAAAAAAAAAAAAAAAAAAAAGAAAAGAAAAGAAAAGAAAUUCAGUUAUUAUAAUCUCUCUCUUUUAUGUUAAGUCCAAAUAGCAUUACUCAUGGAACAAAGUAGUCACCAGUUGAGUAAUGGAGGGUGGGAUUGUUGAGCCCCAAGACUAGCAAAGAAAUCUCAAGCUUUUUCACUUGGCUCAUUAUUGUGUCCAUCUUUGGUCCUUGGAUUACAAGUGCUUCGACUUCAACCUGAGUAUUGCCAGGACAAAACCCAUGUUUUGUUUAGUUUGAAAGUAAGUAAAUGUUAUUUUAAGUAACUUUUAACUUGCCACUUUCAUCAGAAAACUAAGGUCAUAAUCUGAUAAAAGACAAAAACUCGCCUCAGGCUUACAGGCCUUGCAACGGGAUCCAAGUGAUGUAGCAAGACGAGGAGAGGAAAACACACAACUCAGAUUUCCAAGGACUAACAAUUUGGAGAAGAGUAUGAAUAUCACCCUUAUUAGUUACAUGUGUGAGUGUCCAAAUCAUUGCAUGUUUGGAAUGUGAAGACUGAUCCACCAUCACCAUAACUCUCUUUUUCAUUACCAACACACCAACGUUGUCACUGCUGCUGCUGUACAUGUUGUUAAGCCCUUCCAUUUGCUUCAGAUUUGGUACCAACCCACCUCCAAAAUCAUAACCAUUGAAGCUGGAGGGGCGGAGCUACAUGGAGUCCAGUGCAGGCAGAUGCCCGCACUGGAUUUUGAGUUUGACAGAAAAAACUCCAGUAUGCCUGUGGCUGCACUGCUACACUGAACCAGCCGACCAGGAAAGGAAGCAGAAAAGGGAAGAAGGAAAGUAGAGAGCAUGAACUGACAUAUGAGGAAGCUUGAAACAUAGUCGAAAUUUACAGUCGCCGGAAGGAAACACAGGCGCCAGAGAAUGGAGGUGGAAGGAAGAUGAAACGGGUACUUUUUUUUUCUUUUUAAAAUUGUGGGCUUUUCUUUUGGGCCACUUUUUUAAAAUUAGGCCCAAUCCACUACCUGGGUUUGUAUUGUUCAAUUGUAAUAUUUCACAAAUCAAUUGCAAUUUGCAAAACACGUCCAAGCAAUGUCAAACCCUGAUUUGACUUCACCGGUAUUUCUCAAGACCAAGCUGCAAAUGGGUUGUGAAAUUUACAGACAAUUCCACCUCCCAUUCCAUUCGUGACAUCUUAGAUCCCCUGGCUUUACUCGUACUUCUCACGACUUGAUAAUUGUAUUUUGUUUUCUGGGAUUUUUUUUUCAAUAUACUGAGUUUUCGAUUGAGCUGUUUGUUUUGAUUUAAUUACUUCAUUUGUUUUUAUAUGUAGGAUGAUUCUGCUGUGAGUGAACAGAAGGAGUAUGUUGAAGCAAAUUGGAAAUUCCAAGUAAUUUUUCUUGAAAUUUAUUUUAAUAUAAUUGAUUAUGAUAAAAAAUUAAACUCUUGUUACGAGGCUGAGGAGAUGUUGUAGUGAUAGAACUCGUAUCUACUAAGUUUUGGUUGAACUAAACUGAAGAUCUUAAGUUUUGAGUUAUCAAUGAAAAAGAAAACAAUUAGAUUAAUCAAUUAUUAGUUGUAUUAAUAAUCUCAUAUCAAUGUUUUUUUUUUAUCAUAAACUAAUUUUGCCCAAAAAAAAUCUCUAUAGCCGAUGCCUAAAAUUGUGCCCGCACUAGACAAAUCCUCUGGCUCCGCCCCUGGAAGCUGCCAUUGUUCGAUGCAUAGAAAAGGGAGAGCAAUGGAUGCAGUCAUGUGGAGGGUGAAUCACUGAUGAUAGAAAGCUAUGAUUUUCAUGAGCUUUCGUGCAGGUUCAAGUCACGGGAAAGUGGGAAACUUUGGCUUAUUGUGGCCCUUCGGUUAUCAAUGGCAAUAUAAACAAAUCAUUGACCCUUGUGUUUUAUUGACCAUAGUCAUUUUUUAGUAGCUUAAAUCAAAUUUGGAUAAAAUAUCACCUUGGAGCCUGGAAAGAAUGAUUGUUCGACCAAAAAUGAGUCGAGUCGAGUCAACGGAAGCAGGUCAAUUGGCUAUAGAAUAGGCUGUGAUCAACUAGCAUAAAUCAUCUUGGAGUUGACGGGAAUGUAGUUUAAACUACCAUGUCUAGUUGAGCAAGGUCAGGUAGCAUUUAUGAAAAUAAUGCUAAACACAAAACUUAGAAAAUUGUUACCAUUUUGAAAUGGAAUCGCCAAAGCUGGGUGAAAUUAUAAGUUCUUUUUUUUGAAAUCUAAAUAAAAUUUUGUGAGUUGGUGAGUCAUGCAUGCUAGUCUAUUGGUUAACUUAAUUUGCUUUUCAUUCAGUUAUCGGUAGUCAAGUAAAAAGUUAAAAGGCGUAGAGUCCUGAAACACAGCCAAUGGCCAUGAUGAUGAAAAUGAGUGGCUCGUGAGUUGGGCUUGGUACUUCCAAAUAAUUGCUCCCGUUAAAUUCGCUCAGUAAAUUUCUUCUGUGCAUUUCUUUUUUGCCCUGAUGAUUUAUUCAGUUUUUCGCUCCUUCAUUGUUAUGACAUGUUAGAGACCUUCACUUUAAUUUUCCCUUCAUUGUUAAUACAAGUUGACUUCGUAUUAUUAACAUAGACUCUGGUGUUGAAACUUGACCUAGUUCUAGUUUUCUACCAUGCUCUUUAUGAGACAAAUUUGUCCAUUCCUCAUACUUACAGGGACCUUUCCACAACCAAGCCAAUUAUGAUUUAUUUUUAUAAGUUUAUUAUUUAAUUUUAGAAAAAAAUACUUCAAAAUUAGUUGUAACCACUUCUUAAUUUUUGAAACAUAAACUUUAAGGCAAUUUUUAAUAUAAAAAUUUUGAAUAUCUUGAUCAAGCCUUCAAUUUUUUUGUUAAGCUUUCAUAAAGUUUUUCAGUUUUGUUUAAGAAUAUUUUUCACGAACAUUAUUUUGCACACUGUUGCUAUAACAUUGAUUUAGCAAGCGCUAUGUUAUAUACUCAAUUAAAAUUUAGAAUUAUGUAACUCAUUUUAAUUGUAAAUCUUAUUUAAUGUCACUUGGUAUCACCUAGACUAAGAAGAAAAUUGUGGUUUAAGAGUUCUCAGCUCAACGUGUUUGAGAACAUGCAAAAUGGUUGAAUUUAUACAAGUUCCUUGUGCAGUGGAGAUAAUUACAGACUUUCUCUAUUUUUAGCAAAUCUUAACAGAUUCCAAUUCUAGUCUAUAUCAAGCAUACAUAAGCUAGUAAUUUCCUGUAAUUGCUGAACUGACUUGGAAGACAACUUGGCUCGCUUGAUUGUUUUGCCAUAAAAAUUGAUUUAAUUAGGAGUGAAUCUUGGUAGCUAUGAUUGCCUUUCCAUUGCCUUAAAUACUUGCUUUGCUCUUGACUGUCUUGAUUGAAAUUCCAUUGAUCUGAUUAAUUGUAUGUGAUUGGGAUUCCUUUUGUGUGCACUCUGAUUUAUUUUCUUCCUUAUCUUUCCAUGAAUCCUGGUAGCUUUGAUUGCCUUUCCAUUGCUUUAAAUACUUGCUUUGCUCUCAAUUCUCUUAAUUGAAAUUCCAGUGAUCUGAUUAAUUGUAUGUGACUAGGAUUCCUUUUGUGUCACUCUGAUUUAUUUUCUUCUUUAUCUUUCCAUGUUUUGCGCUUGCUAAUACCCUCUCUCAACUUGUGACAGGGUUGGAGACACAACUUGCUGCGAAGAGAGUGUAAAUUGGGCUUGGGAAGAGCCUUUGUAAAGAUAUCUGCAAUCUGAUUCGCAGAAGAAACAUGGCGUGUGACAAGGUGACCAAGAGCAACCCGUUCCCGAACAAAAUGAUAAUCAAGUUCAAUAUGCUUGCUUCGGGCAUGAAAGACGGGGUUAACGGUCAUGUGUAGAGCAGUCAAAUUAUCACAAAAAAGAAUUGGUGGAGAACGAAGAAGAACUUUAAGAUCACGAAGGAGGAAAGCCAAGUAAGCUCAGCUGUGGUAUGAGCCAAGGAUCGAUAUUCAGCUUCAGUACUCGAUCCAGACAUCGUGCUUUGUUUCUUUGCACACUAGGAGAGAAGGUUCCGACCAAAAAAUGUGCAAUACCCAAUGGUGGAACAUCUAGUUGUGGGACAGCCUACCCAAUUUGCAUCAGAGAAAGCAAAGAGAUCAAGUGUAGACUAUGAGAAAAGCUGUAAUCCAAGAGAAAUCAUCCCUUUGACACAAUGUUCGCUAAAAUACUAUCGCAAGUGCACGGGUCGCGUCCAAAUAAUAAAGUGGACUGUUUAAGUCUGGAUUGUCGAUUCCUCGAGGAAUGUUUACUUUAAAUUACACAACUUCAAUCAAUUUAAUUCUAACAAUGAAAGUAAACGAACACAAU